CAUGCAGUCGAGCGGUAGCACAGAGAGCUUGCUCUCGGGUGACGAGCGGCGGACGGGUGAGUAAUGUCUGGGAAACUGCCUGAUGGAGGGGGAUAACUACUGGAAACGGUAGCUAAUACCGCAUAACGUCGCAAGACCAAAGUGGGGGACCUUCGGGCCUCAUGCCAUCAGAUGUGCCCAGAUGGGAUUAGCUAGUAGGUGGGGUAACGGCUCACCUAGGCGACGAUCCCUAGCUGGUCUGAGAGGAUGACCAGCCACACUGGAACUGAGACACGGUCCAGACUCCUACGGGAGGCAGCAGUGGGGAAUAUUGCACAAUGGGCGCAAGCCUGAUGCAGCCAUGCCGCGUGUAUGAAGAAGGCCUUCGGGUUGUAAAGUACUUUCAGCGGGGAGGAAGGCGAUAAGGUUAAUAACCUUGUCGAUUGACGUUACCCGCAGAAGAAGCACCGGCUAACUCCGUGCCAGCAGCCGCGGUAAUACGGAGGGUGCAAGCGUUAAUCGGAAUUACUGGGCGUAAAGCGCACGCAGGCGGUCUGUCAAGUCGGAUGUGAAAUCCCCGGGCUCAACCUGGGAACUGCAUUCGAAACUGGCAGGCUAGAGUCUUGUAGAGGGGGGUAGAAUUCCAGGUGUAGCGGUGAAAUGCGUAGAGAUCUGGAGGAAUACCGGUGGCGAAGGCGGCCCCCUGGACAAAGACUGACGCUCAGGUGCGAAAGCGUGGGGAGCAAACAGGAUUAGAUACCCUGGUAGUCCACGCCGUAAACGAUGUCGAUUUGGAGGUUGUGCCCUUGAGGCGUGGCUUCCGGAGCUAACGCGUUAAAUCGACCGCCUGGGGAGUACGGCCGCAAGGUUAAAACUCAAAUGAAUUGACGGGGGCCCGCACAAGCGGUGGAGCAUGUGGUUUAAUUCGAUGCAACGCGAAGAACCUUACCUGGUCUUGACAUCCACAGAACUUAGCAGAGAUGCUUUGGUGCCUUCGGGAACUGUGAGACAGGUGCUGCAUGGCUGUCGUCAGCUCGUGUUGUGAAAUGUUGGGUUAAGUCCCGCAACGAGCGCAACCCUUAUCCUUUGUUGCCAGCGGUUAGGCCGGGAACUCAAAGGAGACUGCCAGUGAUAAACUGGAGGAAGGUGGGGAUGACGUCAAGUCAUCAUGGCCCUUACGACCAGGGCUACACACGUGCUACAAUGGCAUAUACAAAGAGAAGCGACCUCGCGAGAGCAAGCGGACCUCAUAAAGUAUGUCGUAGUCCGGAUUGGAGUCUGCAACUCGACUCCAUGAAGUCGGAAUCGCUAGUAAUCGUAGAUCAGAAUGCUACGGUGAAUACGUUCCCGGGCCUUGUACACACCGCCCGUCACACCAUGGGAGUGGGUUGCAAAAGAAGUAGGUAGCUUAACCUUCGGGAGGGCG
rnacentral:rRNA from 1 species